rnacentral:rRNA from 1 species
GAUGAACGCUGGCGGCGUGCCUAACACAUGCAAGUCGAGCGAACGGACCAGAAGCUUGCUCCCCUGAUGUUAGCGGCGGACGGGAGAGUAACACGUGGAUAACCUACCUCUACGACUGGGAUAAUUUCGGGAAACCGGAGCUAAUACCGGAUAAUAUAUUGAACCUCAUGGUUCAAACGUGAAAGACGGUCUUGCUGUCACUUAUAGAUGGAUCCGCACUCAAUUAGUUAGUUGGUAAGGUAACGGCUUACCAAGGCAACGAGGCAUAGCCGACCUGAGAGGGUGAUCGCCCAGACUGGAACUGAGACAGGGUACAGACUCCGGCAGUGGGCAGCAGUAGGGAAUCUUCCGCGAUGGGCGAGAGCCUAACGGAGGAACACCGCGUGAGUGAUGAAGGACUUCGGAUCGUAAAGCUAUGAUGUUAGGAAAGAACAAAUGUGUAAGUAACUGUGCACAUAAUGACGGUACCGGGACAAAAAGCCACGGCUAACUACGUG